UGUCCAACGAAGACGUGUGUGUUUGUGCAGUCAUGAUAAUAGUGGUAGAACUACCGUCGCGCCAAUCUUCCUCUGAUGCUGUCGUUUUAAACCUCCUUGAGUGUGCACUCUCCUCUCCACUUGCGCACGGCUACUGUAGUUUUGAUAAGAAUCAAUGUGUGGGCGAUCGCUAAGGGGUUUAAUAAAGUGCGGAGAUUUGAAACUUGUUCCCGCGGAGGGCAACGCUAAAAGACCCACUCGACAUCCCUUCCAUGUGAUGCGUUAAGACAGCGUUAAGAUAGCGUCUCCCAGACAUCCCAAGUUCCAAAAACUUAUUACAGGGAGCUGCCAGAAAUAUUCUAGUAAGGGGAGAUAGGACAGGUACAUUGAAAUUAACGGUGAAGAUUCGUAACGCAAAUAUGGCGUCUACCCGCACAUCUCCCGCCUUUCUGGUAACAAGAGCCAAUGUGCCUGCUGAGCUGCGUUGCCAGUGAUCCAAUCAUUUGGCUGCAUCGGCGCACGCGAAAUUAUGCACAUGCUCAGUUGUGAAAAGCCGUUGCUCUCGUGCCGUUAUGGAACUACUGCGCCUGCGCUCUGUCAAAAAAGCCGUGAGAAAAGUGGCUCAAAAAGCUUUAUUUUGACUCAUAUGACACAACCAAGUAGUCUAGAUCGAUCAGUUUUUCACGGUCGUUUCAACCAUAUGGUUUUCACAACCCCUGGGUUCCCCUCCGUCCUAUACUCAGUUUCCCCAUUCAUUUUUCCCAUUGACUCUCAGAUCUGGUCUACUUAAUCGCGAAAUAGCACCCCGGAGGCGUCACCAAGAUGGCCGCCAUAUGUCCCCUCUCAUUCUAAAAUCUCUCUGGAGCUGCCUAUCACAAUAUGGUCCAGCUGCGUCCUGUCCAGCUAAUACCGCUACGCCCAUUCCUCCUUACUAGACCGCCCUCACAGUAACGCCCCUUUGGCUGUUCACGUUUCUCAAGUCAGUGACAUGCUGCCGAAUGACAACACAAGCGCCGCACAGGACUUUUUAAAACGACUGAAUGGAUUUCGCUGCAGCGAUCACUCAACUGUCGGUAAGAUUUCAAUAUAAAUGCAUGAAUAUACAUAACGGUUACUUUACGAGUUGACUUUCAGUCGGAGGGCGAACAUUUACCUCGGCCCACCAACUAGCGGUUUUGGCUAAUGUUAUUUAGCUUCAAGGCAAGCUAACAGGCCGCCCUUCCUAAGUUUCAGAUGUUGUGUGUAUAUUUGUCAUAAUGACUUGAUGUAGUAGUGCUAAAAAUAAACCUUUAUAUGUUCUCUUAGUGAACUUCUCAAAAUAUAUGGGCUAUAAUGUAUAAUGUACUUGGGAUGGGUUUAUCGUUACCCAUUGUUUCUGAUGGGGCGUUAAUUGGUGUGGCACCCCGGAAAUCUUCCUCACUUCUGGCAAGGGAUUGGGAAGUAAAUAAAUGCUACUGGAUCGAGACCCCUCAUCUCUCCUGCCUCUUCAAUCAUCCAAAGACUGUUAAAUUUGUUAUUUAAAUGUAAUGGUCGGUUCAUGUCCGUUACAUUGACUUGACUUGUCAUUGGGUCUGAUUUUAAAUGUGCCAUAUAGUUCAAUGUGGGAGCAGGUUCACACACUAAAUAAGACACUAAGGUCAAGCACAAUCAGAUUUUUUUUUUUAAACAAUUCUCAGAGCAGAGUAGAGCAGACGUUUCAGGUUACUGCCAUCAGAGAGUAGUGACUUGACCUUAGUGUCUUAAGUGUGCUCCCACAUUGAACUCUACUUUUUGGGUCCAUGCACCUACUUAUUUCUAAACAUCUAAGCGCAAUUAUACCCCUGCCUCCUGAUGUGCCAUAUAACCUGUAUCUCUCCAAUUGUGUGUGUGUGUGUGUGUGUGUGUGUGUGUGUGUGUGUGUGUGUGUGUGUGUGUGUGUGUGUGUGUGAGAGAGAGAAUGUGUGCACGCAGAUAUAAGAAGUUGGGGUUGAUGAUCCACAUGAUGGUGAUGGACCAGGACAGCUCUGGACCUCCUGACUGGCAGCUCCAUCCUCAACCUCUUCCUGCCCUUCACACAUGUGCAGGCAGAGAGGCAGUUUUCUGAAGGAUGGUUGAUGUCAGUACUAACAUGUUGUGAUGGAGGCUUCCACCUGAGCUGAACACAGAAACUUGCACACAGUGAUGGAAGCAGUCGUUCCUGUUCAGCAUUGAUAUGCCGGUAAUGGGUUUGAUGAGCCACAGCAUGGUGAUGGGCAAUCAGCAUCAGGACCAGGGCCGCUCACAAGGAGAACCUCCUGCCCUGCCUCUUCAUCCUCAACCUCCAAUCUUCCUGCUCUUCACACAUGUGCAGGCACGGAGCCAGCUUUCAGAGGGAGGGCUGAUGACACCAGCAACUUCGGAUCUGAACCUGAUCAACCCAGCACCAACCACUAUGCCGCUCCUCCUCUGCCAACUGCACCACAUGGCUCCACCAUCUCAAAAAGGCACAGACACUACUCCACUUCCUGCGAAGGAUGAGAGAAGAGCCGACCUCCCCACAUCGGCACUCACCACCUUCUACAGGGGUGUCAUUGAGAGCACCCUGGCCAGCAGCCUCUCUGUCUGGCAUGGCAGCCGUCAAGAGUGGUGAGGACAGCAGAAAAGCUCAUAAGAUCACCCCUACCAGCCAUUCCGGAUCUGUACACUUCACACUGUUCCAAGAGGGCAAUGAACAUCAUAAAGACACAACUCAUCCAGCACACAGACCGCCCUCCCUACUACCAUCAGGGAAGCGCUAGCCCACCAUGCGGUGCUGCAAAAGCACACUGGGAAACGGCUUCUUUCCACAAGCCAUCAGACUCCUCAACGCACUGAAGAAAACCACAUGAAUAACCAAGGACACGAGAGAAUAUUCCAUGAACACUUCUUUCACCAUGCCACUUACAUUUUACUCAUUGCACCUUGUAUACAGCAUCUUCACAUCACCUGUAUGAACUCCUCCUGCCAUGUGUGUGUGUGUGUCCACUGUGUUUGUGUGUAUUUAUUGUCCAUCAGUAUGUUAAUUGCACACUGUUUGGGUGUGAGUGUAUUUAUAGUAUGUAUCAGUCUGUAUUUAAUGUCAAUGCCUUAUUUUUAGUUAUUAGUUAAAUGCACAUUGGAGACUGGUCAAACACAAUUUCAAACUUUGUGUUAACCCUCCAUAGAUUUUUUUGUCAAAAAAUGGAGUCUAAUCUACUGUACUAGGCUAUCAACAGACCACACAGUUGAGUGCUGUUUUAUGCACUCUGAAUAUGAGGAGAGGAAGAGGUGACCGUUCACACUUCAUAGUGUACAAGUAAACGGAAAUAAAUUUUCACAUUUCA